UACGUAGGUGGCGAGCGUUGUCCGGAAUCAUUGGGCGUAAAGAGCGCGUAGGCGGCUUGUCAGGUCCGAUGUGAAACCCUGGGGCUCAACCCCAGGCGUGCAUCGGAAACCGGCUUGCUAGAGUCUGGGAGAGGGGAGUGGAAUUCCUGGUGUAGCGGUGAAAUGCGUAGAUAUCAGGAGGAACACCGGUUGCGAAGGCGGCUUCCUGGAACAGUACUGACGCUGAGGCGCGAAAGCUAGGGGAGCGAACAGG
rnacentral:rRNA from 1 species